UACGUAGGGGGCAAGCGUUGUCCGGAAUCAUUGGGCGUAAAGAGCGUGUAGGCGGUUCGGUAAGUCUGCUGUGAAAGUCCAGGGCUCAACCCUGGAAAGCCGGUGGAUACUGUCGGACUAGAGUGCGGAAGAGGCGAGUGGAAUUCCCGGUGUAGCGGUGGAAUGCGCAGAUAUCAGGAGGAACACCAAUAGCGAAGGCAGCUCGCUGGGACGGUACUGACGCUAAGGCGCGAAAGCGUGGGGAGCGAACAGG
rnacentral:rRNA from 1 species